rnacentral:rRNA from 1 species
GAUGAACGCUGGCGGCGUGCCUAAUACAUGCAAGUCGAACGCUGAAGGAAGGAGCUUGCUCUUUCCGGAUGAGUUGCGAACGGGUGAGUAACGCGUAGGUAACCUGCCUGGUAGCGGGGGAUAACUAUUGGAAACGAUAGCUAAUACCGCAUAACAGUAGAUGUUGCAUGAUAUCUACUUAAAAGGUGCAAUUGCACCACUACCAGAUGGACCUGCGUUGUAUUUGCUAGUUGGUGAGGUAACGGCUCACCAAGGCGACGAUACAUAGCCGACCUGAGAGGGUGAUCGGCCACACUGGGACUGAGACACGGCCCAGACUCCUACGGGAGGCAGCAGUAGGGAAUCUUCGGCAAUGGACGGAAGUCUGACCGAGCAACGCCGCGUGAGUGAAGAAGGGUUUCGGAUCGUAAAGCUCUGUUGUAAGAGAAGAACGAGUGUGAGAGUGGAAAGUUCACACUGUGACGGUAUCUUACCAGAAAGGGACGGCUAACUACGUG